rnacentral:rRNA from 1 species
UACGGAGGGUGCAAGCGUUAUCCGGAUUUACUGGGAUUAAAGGGUGCGUAGGUGGGUUGGUAAGUCAGUGGUGAAAUACUUUCGCUUAACGAAGGAACUGCCAUUGAUACUACCAGUCUUGAAUACAGUGGAGGUAGGCGGAAUGCGUCAUGUAGCGGUGAAAUGCUUAGAUAUGACGCAGAACACCAAUUGCGAAGGCAGCUUGCUACACUGUUAUUGACACUGAGGCACGAAAGCGUGGGGAUCAAACAGG